rnacentral:rRNA from 1 species
AGAGUUUGAUCAUGGCUCAGGACGAACGCUGGCGGCGUGCUUAACACAUGCAAGUCGAGCGAGGCCCUCUUUCGGGGGGUGCCCUAGCGGCGAACGGGUGAGUAACACGUGGGCAACCUGCCCUCAGCUUCGGGAUAACUCCAAGAAAUUGGUGCUAAUACCGGAUGUGACCGCUGACCGCAUGGUCUGGUGGUGGAAAGAUUCAUCGGCUGGGGAUGGGCCCGCGGCCUAUCAGCUUGUUGGUGGGGUAAUGGCCUACCAAGGCGACGACGGGUAGCCGGCCUGAGAGGGUGACCGGCCACACUGGGACUGAGACACGGCCCAGACUCCUACGGGAGGCAGCAGUGGGGAAUAUUGCGCAAUGGGCGGAAGCCUGACGCAGCGACGCCGCGUGAGGGAUGACGGCCUUCGGGUUGUAAACCUCUUUCAGUAGGGACGAAGCGGAAGUGACGGUACCUACAGAAGAAGCACCGGCCAACUACGUGCCAGCAGCCGCGGUAAUACGUAGGGUGCAAGCGUUGUCCGGAAUUAUUGGGCGUAAAGAGCUCGUAGGCGGUCUGUCACGUCGGCUGUGAAAACCCGAGGCUCAACCUCGGGCCUGCAGUCGAUACGGGCAAACUGGAGUACUGCAGGGGAGACUGGAAUUCCUGGUGUAGCGGUGAAAUGCGCAGAUAUCAGGAGGAACACCGGUGGCGAAGGCGGGUCUCUGGGCAGUAACUGACGCUGAGGAGCGAAAGCGUGGGGAGCGAACAGGAUUAGAUACCCUAGUAGUCC